ensembl:lncRNA
CCUGGAUACAAGGUCACAUUCUAGACCAUGCAUAUUUAGUUAUGCAUGGUAAACAGUACUUGCAAAUGAAGAUGCUUUUAUUUUGCGCUUAUUAUUUUAGAGAUAGUACAUUGUUGCCUCAGAUGGUAAAAACCAAACAAAACUUGCCACUGUAUUCAAACUUAUUUUACUCCUACAUCUUUUUUCCUUCACUGAAAAUAUUCUUCACUAUAUCAAGUUUUUUCUUAUGAAACUAAUUCUUAAAUCUAGCAAUUAGAAAAACUUUCUGUGCUACUGGCUGGGCUUAUGACUGUAUGCUCCCUUCCACUCCACUCCCCAGGCAGAGUGGAAGGUCUCCCUGGAUGCACUACCUUCUCUCUGUAUCAAGGCUGAAUGUGGUCACUUGGCUCGUCUGCAUGCUUCAGAAGCUGGUUGCAUGCAUUCAGUUCUCCAACACCUUCCUUCAUGGGAAUGAAGUUUGGCAGAAGAAGGAAAUUUUCAGCCCAACCCACCAUGCAUGCAGAUAUGACCACCUAAAGAGGAUGCAUGCAGAUAUGACCACCUAAAGAGGUGUGACAAUGAGUAUAGAAAGCACCCUGUAGCCUGUAAACCAUAAAGUAAGUAUGGUUUCUAAGAUUAUGGGUGGACUGUAAUCUCUCCCCAGCCAGGUUUUAAUGGCCACCAACAGUGGAGCUGGCUUCCAGGCUGUGAAUAGAUUCAUGGAAGAUGAACAAAAACAAAUCAACAAAUCAACAACGACAACAGCAACAUCUGUGUAUACUAUAGAAGCAGAUUUGUAAUUAUUUUGUACAUUGGCUUAAUACUGAGAAAGAGACUGAAUAAUUAUUGCACUUCUGGCCAGUCUAUACUGUCUCCUGAUGAAGGACCCUCCAGCAACUUCAGGCUGAAAUGAAGCAGAUUCCCUCAGUCCCCACAAACUCUCAAAUAUGAGCAUCUGGAAAAAAAAAAAAAAGGGACAGGGACUGAGUCCCAGAGAUAUUCCCCAGGAACUCUCCCCAGUCUGUGGUGCAAUAUGUGGUCUGACCCAGCUGGACACCAGGCAGCACUUGGCCACCAGCCCUUCUGGCUGGACUCCUCCCCAAGGAAGCUGCACAAUUUCCUUGUGGAAGAAGUGUCUGAAGGCCACCCAUCGGGAGCAAAAUUUGAUGGAUGAAGAUUCUGUCUGUGAACAAGUAAUGAAAGUGAAGAUAAAUACACUGGAACUAUAGACAUUGAAAAAGUUAUCAAUGAAGCCCUCAUAUUCACCACCCUGUCCCUACAUAGGUUAUCCCUAAACCUCCGUAGACGGUAUCUGUUUUUCUGCCAUCAGAGUCUAUUUCCUGAAAUUUUGGAAAAAAAUGUACACAGAAUUCCUGCCUCCUCCAAAAUUCAGCACGUGUGUUCUGACAGACGCAGAGUCCCCAGCUGCCUGGCCACUGUGAAUACCUUUGAGCCAAUCAGAAUCAAAUACGUAUGUAUGGAAAGUUCUGCCACAGACACGGUUGUCCUUUCUCUCUGGCCCUUGGUUGGGAAUCACAGGCUGGAGCUACUCCUGUCAUCUUGCCACCCACCAUACGUAGCAACAUGGAUGUAUCUGAGAGAUAGAAAGAAACUAUAUCCUGGUGAUGUUGGAAUCCUGAUGAAGCUGUGCAUAAUCUCCCUUGCAGUUUACUUAGAAUAUGAGAAUGUUUUAGAUAUUUUCAAAUGAAAAUGCCUAAGAGUUUAAGUAUUAUUAUCUUGCCAGAUCCACGCACCCAGCCAAUGAUGAGAUUAGAGUAUAACAAUAUCUCCAUGUCUCCAAAGCCAUUUAUUUUCCAUGGAACCAUACUGUUUUUUUCCUGUGUGAGAAAGAAUGGAGUAUGACAACUCUAGAAUUACAUCUCUUGUGAAAUCUUUUAACAUGACCCACAAUUCCUUUUUCAAACUUCUUACAGGUUCAUCAUAUCAAAAGUUACAACUAUAUCAUCUGUCAAUCUCCCACAAGGAAAUGACACAAGCUCUCUAAUGAAAACAUUCUCUGAUGCCUUGCAAUUUUAGUUAUAGACCAUUCUGCACAAUGUCUCACAUACAUUUAUCUGGCUACAUUUUCAGUUUAGUGCUGUAUCUUCAGCCUCAUAUGUAAAACAUUUUCCUUACCCCUUGAAAACUGUAGCAAGGUCACAAAACUCAUGAAUUUAUUGUAAUAGUAAAAAAUGUUUUGCCCCCUGUUUUUAUCAGCAGGCCUCGUUUCUAACACUACAGAUGUGAAUCUUUGCCCUACUUGGAAAUUCUUGCCAGUUUCUUUGUCAUCCACCUUCAAUUAUUGGUUCGACAACUAGAUAUAGGACUAACAGAGACCACAUUACCUCUGGAUAUAAAAGAAAGUUCAUUUCCCUUUCAUUAUAUACUUCUUUUCAGGGUGAGAGAGGAAAUGUAUUAAAAUUACUUAGCUCCCUUAGAGAUAGCUAAAUUACUAUUAUUUCAACCUAAUAAUAAUAAUAAUAAUAAUAAUCAGACAAAACCAUUUUGUGUCUGAUCUACUGGAAUGUUU